UGGGAAAUACGUACCUCUGCACACUUUUUUGCAGCGCCAAAAAUAUGUACCAAUAGGCACGUAUUGCUACAGUUUUGAAAAACAAACGUCCACUGGGGUCGCUAAAGAGAAGAACUCCAUGUGACAUUACAUUAGGAGUUGCAUUUCAUUACAUCGCGAGAUUUAACAACGCAUUGGUGUGCCACUCUGGGUGGCUCCGGCACACUUGUGGCUACGCCCCGCCGUGACCCAAAUCUCAUUCGCACAUCAUCGCGAAAUUUAUCAUCAAUUUACAAAUGUCAUCACAUCUCGUUUCUUCACAUACAUCUCAUACUCCUCCAUCUACACGCUCCACAACAUUUAAACCAACGGCUCUUUUAAGAGCCAUCACUUGCAAAAGCUUUCCUACUCACUCACUCACUCACUCACUCACUCUCUCUCCUACUCACUCACUCACUCACUCACUCACUCACUCACUCACUCACUCACUCACUCACUCUCUCUCUUACUCACUCACUCACUCACUCACUCACUCACUCUCUCUCCUACUCACUCACUCACUCACUCACUCACUCACUCACUCACUCACUCACCCUCCAACUCACUCACUCACUCUCCUAUAGGGAUGUGCAAAAAAAUCGUCUGCGAUUCUC